rnacentral:rRNA from 1 species
CAAUAGCGUAUAUUAAAGUUGUUGCAGUUAAAAAGCUCGUAGUUGGAUUUCUGGUUGAAGCGACCGGUCGGGCGUUGAUUCGUCUGCACUGGAGUCGGUUUUGGCCAUCCUCUAGGAAAGUGCGUCUGGUAUUAAGUUAUCGGGCGUAUGAUCCUGGUCUUUUACUGUGAAAAAAUUAGAGUGUUUAAAGCAGGCCUUCGCCUUGAAUACAUUAGCAUGGAAUAAUAAGAUAGGACUUUGGUCUAUUUUGUUGGUUUGCAGACCGAAGUGAUGAUUAAUAGGGAUAGUUGGGGGUAUUUAUAUUCCGAUGUCAGAGGUGAAAUUCUUAGAUUUUCGGAAGAUAAACUUAUGCGAAAGCAUUUACCAAGGAUGUUUUCAUUAA